CCCUUAGAUGUUCUGGGCCGCACGCGCGCUACACUGAUGCAUUCAACGAGUCCAACCUUGACCGAGAGGUCCGGGUAAUCUUUGAAACUGCAUCGUGAUGGGGCUAGAUUAUUGCAAUUAUUAGUCUUGAACGAGGAAUUCCUAGUAAGCACAAGUCAUCAGCUUGUGUUGAUUACGUCCCUGCCCUUUGUACACACCGCCCGUCGCUCCUACCGAUUGAAUGUUCCGGUGAGCUCUUCGGACUGCGCGGUCUGCAGUUUCUGCGUUCCGUGCGGAAAGUUGCGCAAACCUUAACAUUUAGAGGAAGGAGAAGUCGUAACA
rnacentral:rRNA from 1 species